GUUGCAAAUGCAGUCGACAGACAAUUUAUCCAUACGAUAAAAUAUUGGAAAGACGGAUGAAUGGGGGGAAGGCAGCAGAGGUCAAAGUGCACUGGCUACCUUGCUCUUCCUGUGGCAGAGUCUGGGAGGACACCUGAG